UAGAGAUUCACGAAAGGAAAUGCUUGCUGGAGCUUCGAUCGUGGCGCUUGCGCUCCUCGUCGCGCUCGGAUCGUGUGACGCUAGCCAGACCAAGGUAUGCAUCGUAGGUAGCGGCAUUGGAGGCGCAUCGGCAGCUCAUUUCCUCCGCAAGUACUCCGGCCGGCCCCAAAACGAGCUCCACAUCCAUGUCUACGAGAGAAACAGCAUCGUCGGGGGGAGAAUGGCGAUGGUGGAUCUGCUAGGGGAUAGAUUUGAAGCGGGUGCCUCGAUUCUCCAUCCCAAAAACCUCCACACUGUCCAUUUCGUGGGUUUGCUGGGUCUAAAGCAGAAAACCUCGCCCGACAGUGAGACGUUUGGCCUCUGGGAUGGGAAGAAGUUCGUGGUGAGGACUAUGGAUGGUGGGAGCUCGUUCAUCACGAAGAAAAUUGCUGGAUUGAUCAAUGCGUUGGGGAUGCUGUGGCGCUAUGGUAGCGACUUGUUUAGGAUGCGAUCCUUUGUAUCGCAACUUCUGAAGAGAUUCUUGCAUUUCUAUGACGAGGGAAGGACCCCGUACAGCAGUGUUAAGGAUAUGCUGGAGUCUGUCGAACUCUAUGGUUACACGCAGCAUACACUUGUCCGUGAGCUCCUUCGAGAAGGAUUGUCUGUCCAGAUUAUCACAGAGAUUGUCACGAUGAUAACAAGGAUCAACUAUGGACAAAAUGUUUCUAUCAGUGGCCUGGCCGGUGCGGUUUCUCUCUGUGGUUCUGGAGACGAUCUCUGGGCCGUUGAAGGCGGGAACUGGCAGAUGGCGGAUGGUUUGAUCAAGCUCUCGAAUGCCUCUCUCGGUUUAAGUGAUACGGUGUUAUCAGUCGUGAGCAAAGAUGGAGUCUACGAGGUGAUGAGCUCGUCUGGGAAAAACAGGACGUGCAACGCCGUGAUUAUUGCCGCCUCCUUAGACGAAGAGAAAAUCGUUUUCAGUCCAUCCGUCGAUCUACCCAAACGCUCGAUGCAUCACACUUUCGUUACAUUCGUUCGUGGGCUCGUCAGUCGGGAUUACUUUGGUCUCAAGGAUGCAAAACUACCGGACUUAAUCGCUACGUUGGAAGUGCCCGGCAUUCCAUUUAUAUCUAUUUCGGUUCUUAAGAGCUAUAAUGCCACCGACAACGCUUACAAAGUCUUUUCCCGAGCAUCGUUGUCCGAUGAGUUCCUGGACAAACUCUUCAGCGUGCGAAGGAAAACCAUUCGACUCAACUGGGCGGCCUACCCCCAGUACAACGCGCCAGAAACCUUCGCUCCAGUCAUUCUUGAUGGCAAUCAUCUCUACUAUGUCAAUUCGUUUGAAAACGCCGCGAGCACAAUGGAGACGAGCGCUGUUGCCGCAGAGAAUGUCGCACGCCUUCUCCUCAUGCGCUUGUCCACUGAUGGCGCCGUGUUCAACUCUGGACUCAACACCAUGGCGAAACGUGGCUCAGAAGAACUGUAGACGCUGAAUUACUGAACGCCUCGAGUCUAUCCCAACUUUCAUCCAGAAUAGUCUCAGGAGCAGCAAACAAGAGGCGGAUCCAACCAGGAAAACCGAAAGCAGAACCUGGACGCAAGUAAAUCAUUAAGCAUACACGCUAUAUCUUAUUGAAGCCACUGUACCUGGUAAUACCCCGAGUGCUUCCUCCUUCGCGAGAGCCACCGCAAACUCCUUAUCGUCUCUGAGACUCCGGAGAGAAAGCGUUUACCAUGAUAUACAUAGAGCCUCGAGGCUUUGAAGGACAGGACAGUCCCGGGGUCUUCUGAGCUCUCUCGUAGCAAAGAUCGGCUCUUGUGCUGAGUGUAUCCAAAGUUUGACUGAAAAAGUCUUGUGGAGUAUUUUGCAAUAUCUUCGGCAGCGCGGCCUGUUGAGACGUAAAAUGCAUCUGUGCGAGAUUUGUGAAGGCGUCCAGCACCUGGGAAGAUCAUAAUGGAGAUUUCAGCAACCGAAAGGAAAGUUAUAUCGAACGACCUUUGCUUCCUUGAGGACACAGUCGGGAUCACACACCGAAAGCCAGCCGAGCCUCCAGCCAGGGACGAACCAACGCUUGGAAAUCCCCCCGACUGUCAACACAGGAACGUGAGACGCGAAGGCUCCCAUCGGAACAAACUUUGAUCCUUCGAAGGCCAUAUGAGCGUAGAUCUCGUCAGCGAUUAUCGGCACUCGAAGCUUCCCCGCGAGCUUGGCAACCUGGACAGCGGGUGAGAAGGUGAAAAGGUGAAAAGCUCUCUCGAGUCAAUACAGGCAGCGGAAGAACACACGAGAGCGAGACGCGAGGACUUUUUCACACCUGCGUCAGAUGAUGCGGGGUGUAGACAGAUCCGCAGGGGUUCCCGGGAUUGCAGAGGACUAUCGCAGCAGUAUCCGGAUCCACCAGCCUCUCAACGCCUCGAAGAUCAACCUCCCAGUCGCUGUUUGGAAGCAGAUCAUACUCGCGAACUUCAACGCCGAAGAAGUUGCAAAAGGACUGAUACAGCGGGAAUCCAGGCCGUGGGAGCAACAUGUUGGACGGCUUUUCGCUGUUGGCCAGCGCCCCGAUGCAAAACUGGAUCGCCUGCGAGCACCCGGCCGUCAUGAAGAUGUCAUCGGCUGACAACGAGUACGGUAGAUCCUUGGAAAGGAACUCGGCCACGGCGCUGGAAGAAAAGCUUACAGAAUCACAAAAAAGUCGUAGAUUCCAGCUGCUUGGCUGUAGCCAUUGUAGUGGAAGCCGGAGAUGGCGUCCGUGAGCGCCUGGACGGCUACCUGGGGAGCUUUGAUCUCGCCGAAAGCGCAGGGGUCGCCGAGAGUGAGCGAAAUUGGCUUCUUUCCUCGCCCCUGGACCGUCGGCAUGGAUUCCAUCGCUCUCCGGAUUGGAUUGAGGCUCCGCAAUGCUGCCGGAUUCGCUCCAAUCGCCCACCGCUUUGGAUCCACAGCCGAUUCAUGCGGACUGUGAGUGGCAAUCUCGCAGCGAAGCGCGAGCAAGCACGGCAUUUUUUCUCUUUCCUCUCCGCUCGAUCUCCUUUAGCGCUCCCGAUUUCCUUCAGCGCUACCUUUAAAAAGGGGAAGAUUCCGGGAUAUUCUCACCGUAGGAAAACACGUGGGAGAGAAAAAAACAAACGAGAAGUUCUCAAAUCAAAUCAAUAGCGAAGAGGAGAGUGAGGUUUCCUUUUUAUUGAGAGAUGGAAAAGGAUGAUCUUCCGGGCAU